CUCUAGACUGACAAUUGGACACUUACCUACUAGUGACACCCACUAUAGCCCCAUUGUGACCUCACAUAGUCUGUAGAGAGACCCUAGCUACUCAGCCAGCUAAAGACCAGCUACAGUUAUGACCAGAUGCACUUGCUCCUUCAUCUCUCUGACAGAACAGAUAUAUGUUGGUUCCAGGCCCGCCCCCCCCUUACUUUCCACUCUGGUCCUUAAAACCACGCCAUCUGCAGAGAAGACUAGCACGGCAGAGAGGAUCCCAUUUCAGAACUGUUUCAGACAUCUCAACACUAAUGUUGGAAGCCAGAGAUGAAUGGAACAAUAACUUCAAGAUUCUGAAAAUAAUGAUUUCCAAUCUGGAAUUCGAUAUCCAGCAAUCCAGUGUGAAGAUAAACGUUGAAGUCUCAAAAUAUUUAUGUCCCAAACAUCAUAUCAGGAAGAAACUGGAAGAUGUGCUCCGUCAAAUGGAAGGAAUAAAGCAAGAGAUCCAGGAGAUGGGAAGGUGCAGGACAGCAAGUCUAGAGAACACCCAGUCUACAUGGGUGCAAGGUGGUGGAAGGCUUUGGGAGGUGCACCUCUGACAGAGAGAUGGACUCUGUAUAUUUUUGUGAUGUAUUCGAAAUAUUGAAAAGAGAAUUACACUUCUGGGGAAGAAUUUGGGAAUGAAUUAGUGACAGGUGCCUAGAAAAUUAAGCAAACAAACACUGAGGCAAUCAACUCUAGUAAAUAUUUUUAUUAUUCAUUCCAGUAUACAGUGUUAUAUUAGUUUCAGAUGUUCAGUGUAGUGAUUCAACACUUCAUACAACACCAGCAACACUUGGUGCUCAUGA